UAGGGAAUCUUCGGCAAUGGACGGAAGUCUGACCGAGCAACGCCGCGUGAGUGAAGAAGGUUUUCGUAUCGUAAAGCUCUGUUGUUAGAGAAGAACGUUGGUAGGAGUGGAAAAUCUACCAAGUGACGGUAACUAACCAGAAAGGGACGGCUAACUACGUGCCAGCAGCCGCGGUAAUACGUAGGUCCCGAGCGUUGUCCGGAUUUAUUGGGCGUAAAGCGAGCGCAGGCGGUUCUUUAAGUCUGAAGUUAAAGGCAGUGGCUUAACCAGUGUACGCUUUGGAAACUGGAGGACUUGAGUGCAGAAGGGGGGAGUGGAAUUCCAUGUGUAGCGGUGAAAUGCGUAGAUAUAUGGAGGAACACCGGUGGCGAAAGCGGCUCUCUGGUCUGUAACUGACGCUGAGGCUCGAAAGCGUGGGGAGCAAACAGG
rnacentral:rRNA from 1 species